rnacentral:rRNA from 1 species
UACAGGGGGUGCAAACGUUGCUCGGAAUCAUUGGGCGUAAAGCGCACGUAGGCGGUUUGUUAUGUCGGAUGUGAAAGCCCUUGGCUCAACUGAGGAAGUGCAUCCGAAACUGGCAAGCUAGAGUACUAAAGAGGAUCGCGGAAUUCCCGGUGUAGAGGUGAAAUUCGUAGAUAUCGGGAGGAACACCGGUGGCGAAGGCGGCGAUCUGGGUAGAUACUAACGCUGAGGUGCGAAAGCGUGGGGAGCAAACAGG